AGAGUUUGAUCCUGGCUCAGGAUGAACGCUAGCGGCGCGCUUAAUGCAUGCAAGUCGAGCGAUGAGGCUCUUUUCGGAGAGUACAUCAGCGGCAGACGGGUGAGUAACACGUAGCUAACCUACCCUUAAGAUGGGGAUAACCAUGGGAAACGAUGGCUAAUACCCAAUGACCUCGCAGUUCUGGGAUGAGCAGUGAGGAAAGGUUCCGGCGCUUAAGGAAGGGGCUGCGGCCCAUCAGCUAGUUGGUGAGGUAACGGCUCACCAAGGCGAUGACGGGUAGGGGGUGUGAGAGCAUGGCCCCCCACAAUGGGACUGCGACACGGCCCAUACUCCUACGGGAGGCAGCAGCAGGGAAUAUUGCGCAAUGGACGCAAGUCUGACGCAGCGACGCCGCGUGGGUGAUGAAGGCCUUCGGGUUGUAAAGCCCUUUUAGGGGGGAAGAGACAGGACGGUACCCCCAGAAUCAGCGUCGGCUAACUACGUGCCAGCAGCCGCGGUAAGACGUAGGACGCAAGCGUUAUCCGGAUUUAUUGGGCGUAAAGGGCCUGUAGGUGGUUAGUUAAGUCGGAUGUAAAAUCCCCGUGCUCAACGCGGGGCGGCCAUUCGAUACUGACUGACUUGAGUAUGGCAGAGGAGAAUGGAACUCUCGGAGUA
rnacentral:rRNA from 1 species